UGAUUUGUAAUCGGGUUGUAACCCUAGCCGCCGGUGGUGAGCUGUACCUACUUUCCCAUUCUCGAACUCGGUCCACAAUAUCUCUGAAUGUUUGAAUACGAGUAAUGCUAGACGCACGGAGGGGAGGAUUACGGGACUCACAGACUAGCAAAUGUGGGAGAUUGGGAUUGGAGAAGAGGGGAGGAUGGGCCCCACCCCGGCUGAAAAUCAAGGGAAGAGAGAUUAGUUUGAGAGAAAAAUCCAUAAAGCCCUGUAAUAAUCCGUGCGUCUAAGGAUUAUCGGUUCGAAUACAAGUGCUAACUUCAAUUGUUGGUAGCUAUGUUGUCGGGUGAGCGAGAUGCGAGUGAUUCAUUAAUGCAAACCACGUGUGGAGUAGUGGGUUGUAGGCGACGUUGUAGUUGUAAUUGUAUUGUAAUCGAUGGUGGUUUGGGUUCUACACCUUCCCCUCUUUCUAUAAAAUAUGAUACGCACACCCGUGCAUAUUUGAGAUUUUGUUUUUGGUAUCACAGGUUACUCUCAGGCGGGUGAAUCUGGGGUGCAGAGGAGGUUGGGAUCUCUCGUAAAAUCCUUGCUCGAGCUCGGGUUCAGGUGGCGGAGAUCUUUCCGUGGCGGCCGGAGAGGCGUUGUUCAGAGCAUCCUAUGGCCAUUCCUAUGGACCUAUCUACACCUUCCCAAGUGGCAAGUGGAUCAAUGACACGAGCAUGUGCAAGAGCUCUCGAGACCGAGGUAUGAAGAACACCCUCUCGGAGAUCUUGUGACGACGGACAAGUCCCCAAGUACAUGGACGAAGGAGCACGACGGAAGGAACCGGAGAAGGUCUACAGGCCCCGCGCAUCUGGCCCCUGGAGAUGUCAACCACAACAACAACUCGGCUGAAGAUCACCUACAUGCACCGGACAUCCGGCCCAGCCCCGGAAAUCCGGCCCCUUCUAUAUAGAGAGCACCCGAAACUUGCCCCCCCCGGCCCGGACAUCUGGCCGUAGCCCCAAACAUCCGGCCUGACGCCUGGACAUCCGGCCCCUCCUGCCUGCGCAGUGUAUCUAGGUCGAGGCCCAUGUACCCCUUCGCCCCCUAGACUAUAUAUACUCUUCCUCUACCUACGUUUUAGGGUUAGCAUUGUGAUAGCUCAUUUUGGAGAUAGAGCUUUGCUGAUCCACUUGUACCUACUCCAUUGGAGACCUUGAGGAGUGCCAAGAGUUGAAGAACCGUUCAAGAAUUCCAUGCCCUCAACGUCAAGCUAAUCAAGAGGAGCACAAGGAGCAACCGCUCAAAGAUCCUCCUCCAUGACAAGAGCAUCAUUGCCAUCACCACCAACACAACGAAGAGCAACCUACGACAAGCUAAAGUUCAACAUGCCAAAGUUCUCCGAAAGCAACGAUCCCGAAUUACCUUUAAUGGGCAUUGAAGGUCGACAAGAUCUUUCUCUACACAACUAUGAAGAAGGGAAGGAAAUUGCCAUGGCAUCGCUUGAGUUCCAAGACUAUGUCCUCAUUUGGUGGGACCAAGUCAUUGAGCGACGAGAAGCAAAAGAUGACCCACCCAUCACAACAUGGAACCAAAUUAAGGAUGUCAUGCAAGCGUGCUUUGUGCCUACAUAUUAUAGCCUAGAUCUCUUCAAAAAGUUGCAACUCCUCAAGCAAGGCAUGAAGUCCGUUGAAGAGUAUUACAAGGAGAUGAAAAUCGCCAUGAUCUGAACCAAUGUCACAGAAGAUGAGAUGCAAACUAUGGCACUAUUCUUGAAUGGACUCAACCAUCCUAUCAAGAAGAUUGCGGAUUUCCAACCGUAUUCGAACCUACUCGAGCUAGUGCACCAAGCUACCAAGGCGGAGUGACAAGUGCAAUAUGAUUACAAGUACGUCAAGUACUCUUCCAGGACCUACAGUUCAUACGAUCAAGCUUGAGCGACUACAACGCCUUCUACCUCGACGAAAGCUACACCAAGCAACAACGACAAGUCAAGUUACAAGAAAACUUUGACAUCUUCAAGUCAUCCUCCUACUACAAGCAACUUCAAGCCGAGAGCUUCAUCACCAACUCCAACGGAUGAGACCGUCAAGACGAGUUCCAUCAAAUGCUUCACAUGUCAAGGCCGAGGCCAUAAGACAUUUGAGUGCCCCACUCGGUGCACCAUGAUCGCCAAUGAUGACGACACAUAUGACCCCAUGAGUGAGGAAGAAUUGGAAGCACUUGAGCACGUGGCUAUGCACCGGCGAGUGAAUGAAGACGAAGAUGACCAAGUGUUUUGUGACAAUGAUUCAAGUCCCGCUCUUGUUGUCUCCAAGGUCUUGAUGCUUCAACACCAACAAGACGAAGACCAACGUUGCCACAUCUUCCACGCCAAAGCGGGCAUCAAUGGACGUUGUGUGAAGGUCAUCAUCGACGGAGGAAGUUGCCACAAUUUGGCAAGUGAAGAGCUAUGUUCCAAGCUACAAUUGAUCAAGAUGAAGCAUCCUCAUCCCUACAAGGUCCAAUGGAUCAGCGACUUCGACACCAUUCAAGUGGAGCACACCAUUCAAGUCUCUUCAAGAUUGGAGCAUACGAAAACAUAUUGGAGUUUGAUGUGGUUCCCUUGUCCGCUUGCCACCUCCUACUUGGAUGACCUUGGCAAUUUGACCACGGCAUCAUCCACAAUGGGCAUACAAUCACUACAACUUCAAGAUGAAGGGAAAGGAGUACGUGCUACGACCUAUGUCGCCAAGCUAGGUGAUCGCUGACAAGUAGACAUUCACCCAUCGCGGAGAGAAUAGUGAGGGAGUGAGCCACCAAAAAGAGACUGUGCGCCACAAGCCCAAAAUGAGUGCUUCCACGAUGAGCAACAAGAAUAACUUAGUGCUUUUUGCUACCAAAAGAUACAUGGGAGAAGUGUGUGAGAACCCAUCGAGUGUUUUACACUAUGUCCUAGUGUGCAAAGACGGAGCGACAAGAACUAACACCUCUCACCACCCACCUUUAGUGUUGUUUAAUCUAUUGCAGGAAUUCAAGGACGUAUUCCCCGAUGAGCUACCUGUGGGUCUACCUCCACUACGAGGCAUCAAAACUGCAUCGAUCUCAUCCCCGGGGCACCUUUACCGAACAAGGCUGAUGAGGACAUCAAUACCAUUGUUACACCCACAGCCCCUGCUGCUAUACAUACUGGACCAAUUGCUAGAGCUCGGGCAUGCCAACUAAAUUACCAGGUACUUUCGUUUCUUGGUAAUGAUUCUAAUGUUCAUGAGAAUAUGAUGCUGCCUAAAUUGGAUACAUUUAUUUUGCUUACAAAUGAAUGGCCUAGCUUGAAAAAGGAUGAACAUUGGAGCAAG